rnacentral:lncRNA from 1 species
AAGAAGAUGAUGAUUCGAGGCUAUAACCUUGGAAUAAUGCUGCCGACCGGUACCAAGGGUUUAGAGAAGAUGAAUGUUGAUCAAGAGGAACAAAAAUACCGAAGGAUUUUGGCUUUAGAAAAAUCGGCACAAGUAGUGAGUUUCAGGAUUCAGUUUUUAUGGCGAACGGCUAUGGAGGUUUUUUGGAGGAUGGGAUCGACAGAGAAGGUGAGUAGGGUGAUCAGAAGGUUUUGGCUAAUAGAAGAAGCAUAAG